UUUGAUCCUGGCUCGGAUGAACGCUGGCGGCGUGCCUAAUACAUGCAAGUCGAACGCGCAGCGAAGAGUGCUUGCACUCUUCAAGCUAGUGGCGAACAGGGUGAGUAACACGUGAAUAACCUACCGAAAAGCAGGGGAUAACAUUUGGAAACAGAUGCUAAUACCGUAUAAAACGUGCUGUCGCAUGACAAAACGUUAAAAGGUCCGUUUGGACCACUUUUUGAUGGAUUCGCGGUGCAUUAGUUAGUUGGUGGGGUAAAGGCCUACCAAGACGAUGAUGCAUAGCCGAGUUGAGAGACUGACCGGCCACAUUGGGACUGAGACACGGCCCAAACUCCUACGGGAGGCUGCAGUAGGGAAUCUUCCACAAUGGGCGAAAGCCUGAUGGAGCAACGCCGCGUGUGUGAUGAAGGCUUUCGGGUCGUAAAGCACUGUUGUAUGGGAAGAACGGUAAGGGUAGGAAAUGAUCUUUACAUGACGGUACCAUACCAGAAAGGGACGGCUAAAUACGUGCCAGCAGCCGCGGUAAUACGUAUGUCCCGAGCGUUAUCCGGAUUUAUUGGGCGUAAAGCGAGCGCAGACGGUUCGAUAAGUCUGAAGUGAAAGCCCACAGCUCAACUGUGGAAGUGCUUUGGAAACUGUCGAACUUGAGUGCAGUAGAGGUAAGUGGAACUCCAUGUGUAGCGGUGGAAUGCGUAGAUAUAUGGAAGAACACCAGUGGCGAAGGCGGCUUACUGGACUGCAACUGACGUUGAGGCUCGAAAGUGUGGGUAGC
rnacentral:rRNA from 1 species